GACGAACGCUGGCGGCGUGCUUAACACAUGCAAGUCGAGCGGUGCGGCGAACGGGUGAGUAACGCGUGAGUAACUGCCCCCCUCUCUGGGAUAACAGUUGGAAACGGCUGCUAAUAACGGAUAGUGGGGGAUGACUCGCGUCCUAUCAGCUUGUGGGUGGGGUAGUGGCCUACAAAGGCGACGACGGGUAGCCGGCCUGAGAGGGCGACCGGCCACAUUGGGCUGAGAUACGGCCCAAACUCGUACGUGGGGCAGCGGGGGGGAAUAUUGCACAAUCGUGGAGACCCUGUUGCAGCAACGCGCGUGCGGAAUGACGGCUUUCGGGUUGUAAACCGCUUUCAGCCAUGACGCGGUAGUGGCAGAAGAAGCACCGGCUAACUACGUGCCAGCAGCCGCGGUAAUUC
rnacentral:rRNA from 1 species